GACGAACGCUGGCGGCGUGCCUAAUACAUGCAAGUCGAACGCAGUGGGGACGGGUGAGUAACACGUGGGUACCCUCCCCAUCAGAGGGGAUAACACUUGGAAACAGGUGCUAAACCGAUACUGAUGGAUGGACCCGUGGUGCAUUAGCUAGUUGGUGGGGUAAAGGCUCACAAAGGCCACGAUGCAUAGCCGACCUUAGAGGUUGAUCGGUCACACGGGGACGGAGACACGGCCCAGACUCCUACGGGAGGCAGCAGUGGGUAAUAUUGCACAAUGUGCGCAAGCCGGAUGCAGCCAUGCCGCUUGUAUGAAGAAGGCCUUAGGGUUGUAAAGUACUGUCAGCGGGGAGGCGUUACCCGCAGAAGAAGCACCGGCUAACUCCGUGCCAGCAGCCGCGGUAAUUC
rnacentral:rRNA from 1 species